CAGAUCUCUGGCCCUGCGGAAGAGGCCAAUUAGAGGCGCUUCUUCGCGGACAUUAGCAAGGUUGAUGAGAAUCUGGGAUUUUAGGGUUUCAUUUUUUAUUUUCUUUUUCUUUUUUUGUAUUUCUGGGUUUCUUGCACUUCUUCCGCUGCAAUUGGGCCCUCUUCCACUGCAAUAUUUUUUGGAAUUUCUUGGUGAAAGAUCCCUUUUUUCUUCACUUGGGUGUGGUAAUUUUCUGCAAUAAUAUUGCCUCUUCGUAGUCUAUUCGCGUUUGCGAUUUGGCCGUAACAACGUGAAUUUGGAAUUGUAUGGCGCUGAUGAUUAGGGUGUGUUGAAUUUCAUCGUAUCGUGGUUUGAUUUAUUUAUUGUAUCCCCUCCCACUCUUUUGAAAUUCUUGCACGCUCGGUUCUGCACUUGUUGCAUUUCAUGUAGUUGCUGCCUUCUGAGCUUCUAGGAAGAAAAUAAUGGCAUCCUGCGUCUGAGACGACCCAAAUCCUACCCUUUGUGCCUGUUUUUAGUAACUUCUUCUUUCGGAGGAAGAGGAGUGUUGCGGGGUAUGGAUAGCUCAGAACGUAAAUGCCAGUGUUAUCAAUUAGGCUUUGUGGUAGUGUAAGUUUAACGGCAUUUGGAUGGGUUAGUGGUUUGGGCCUCACCAUGACUUGCACCUGUUUUGCAUGCCCCAAACGGUCAUGACUCCUCGUAGAGUUGUGUCUGUUUUGUUAAAGACGGAAUAAUACUUUAGAGCAUAUUCGUUACUACUUCCGUCAGGUUUCCAAUACACCCCCUUGGCGAAUAUGUGAGGACGGUACGGUUCCUCCUUCAAAAACACCAAAGAGCGGCAGAUGUGCGGGGAAUUUUGGACCGAACAGAGGUUUUGUAAGCAGAUUUGCGCGCAUGUCUUGUGUAGGGCAGUAAAGAAUUUGGAGCUUUUGAAGAGAAUGAGUUUGCGCUAAAAAUGAUACUACACCGUGAUAUGCUUAGUGCGGUUAUGGAAUUUUGUCGUGUCAACCAAGUCGAGCGCGGACUAGUUAUCAUAGAAGAUUUGAGUGGGUGCCGUGAGGUCAUGUCGCAGAGUGUGAAGAAAUUGCCGCAGCCAAACCACUUCGGAGGCAAUCGUGGCCAUAGCUAUGUACUCUGCUUCCGUACUGGAUAGUAUUGUGGUUUUCUGUCGAAUCAAACUCUAGCUUAUUGUUCCAUAAGCAAAAACAAAACAAUAACCGGAUGUGGAGUGGCGUACUGGACAGUGUUGUGGUUUUCUGUCGAAUCAAACUCCAGCUUAUUGUUCCAUAAGCAAAAACAAAACAAUAACCGGAUGUGGAGUGGCGUACUGGACAGUGUUGUGGUUUUCUGUCGAAUCAAACUCCAGCUUAUUGUUCCAUAAGCAAAAACAAAUCAAUAACCGGAUGUGGAGCGGCGCUGAUCGAGUUUGCCAACUCAAUCCGCAUCAUUAUAGCCAAACAAGGGACGAAGGUUGGAUUUGAUGUCGCGGUGGUAUUUGAUAUAGUACCCUAGCGUACCGCGGAGGUACCGAGAGGCAUGCUUACAUGCCUGAAUGUAAGCAGCCCUAGGAUUAUGCACAUACUGCGCGAGAAGGCUUUAGGUGAAUGUGAGGUCAGGCCGUGUGUACACACAAGCCCAAUUCCAAGAACCCACCCCAUUGGCAUACGAAAAAGUGGAGCAGGAAGCACAAGCUUUGGUUGUCAAUGGACAGUCCCGCGUGGAAAGCUUGGUUUCUAGCGCAAUGGAGGUGGACAUCGGUCGCGAGUCGUGAAAUCCAAACUCAUGUAACUUCUGCUCCACAUACAAGGUUUGGUUGAUUCUGAUCUAGCCUUGGUUGAUAUCUCGAGUAAUCUAUAAGCUUAGCAAGUAGUGAGCAGGGCCGAGGUCGAAAAGGAGAAAGCGGUCAUGGAGUUUUCUUUUGACGGAAUCCAGCAGCGAGACUCUAUUACUUGCAAUAUUCUAUUGAGCAGCAAGUGCAAGAAUCAUUUGGACUGAUUGGAUACGAACCACCGGCAAAAAUGUUUUGUUGUAGUCCAAACUGGGGACUUGGCUGAAUCCGCAGGCGACCAAUCGAGCUUUGAAUCAGCCAAUGGUGCCAUUCGGUUUCAAUUUUAAUUUGAAUAACCAUCGACAAGUGAUGGGUUGGCGGCAGAAAGGGAGCUUAGUGAAGCUCCAUGUUCCAUUUGCAACAGGGAAGUUGAGCUCCUCCUCAAUUGCCACUACUUUACUUCCGAAGAGCAAAGGGCCUGUUGGUAUGUUAAUGGCUUGAGUGGAAUGGAGAGCAACUCAGUAAACAAAGCCUGUUUAGAUUUUGAGGUGGUUUACCUCAAGGUAGAAGGGAGGAGGAAUCAUUGUUUUCCUCCGGGGCUUGAGCUGGAAGGAUCCCUUUAUUGCUACGAGCCUAAGUGUGGUGCUGGUUUAUUGAGGAUGUUGCAAAAAGGAAGGAAUCUUCGAUGAAUUUCUGAUGUUGUGAUUGGACACAACAUAGUUAACUGGGUGAGUGUGCUGGGAAUGGUGGUUGAGAUAUUAUAUAAUUUUAAGAAAAGAGUAAAGGUCAAGAAUCCUUGAGGUCUUGUAA